rnacentral:rRNA from 1 species
ACGCUCGACACCUACGGGAGGUAGCAGUGGGGGAAGUAUUGCACAAUGGGGGAAACCCGUCGAUGCAGCGACGCCGCGUGAGCGAAGAAGUAUCUCGGUAUGUAAAGCUCUAUCAGCAGGGAAGAAAAUGACGGUACCUGACUAAGAAGCCCCGGCUAACUACGUGCCAGCAGCCGACGGUAAUCUGAGGCGGCGUGGCGAAGGC